GGCUUUUCCUAGGAAGGGCCAUGUACUGCCUAGGACUGAAGGGGCAACUUCUUCACAUGCCCACUGGCCUCUCAGCCUGGAUAAAGAAAGGCCUCUGGGAGCUGCAGCAAACUGCUGCAUGACAACUUGCAAGGGGAAGAAAAAGAAGCUCUCCUUCAAGCCAGAGUCAGAAGGGCGACGUCAGGAUGACUUCCUGAGUGCCGGCUCCAGUCCUUUGCUCUACCAGCUGACCUAUCGAAGGGCUGCCACCUCUCUCUCCAGAAAUAUGUUAUGAGGUUGGGAAAUGCCCACCACCAGCCUUUCAGGUGUGACAAUGGAGGAGCCUGACUCCCUUCUGGCCCACUGAAGGUAUCCACACUCCCAAGGACUAUUCCAGGAACUGUGUUCAAUGCAGACUUCUCCGAGAUAGCCCAGCAACAAUGGACAGUGCUUGACUCAUGUCGUAGCAAAGGUACUUCCUAGCAAGUUGGAAGAAACUAUGAAAGGGAAGUAGAGACAUUAUGAAUUGGCCUCUCUCCCCCACAACUCAACA